rfam:Valsa mali var. pyri strain SXYL134 contig2409, whole genome shotgun sequence.
CUUUAUGAUGAUUCUUGCUAUUUUGCCACUGAGUUCAUCGUGACGAGACAAUAUUCCUACACCUUGGAGAACUGAUAG